rnacentral:rRNA from 1 species
AACGAACGCUGGCGGCCGGCUUAACCCAUGCAAGUCGAACGCCCCGCAAGGGGAGUGGCAGACGGGUGAGUAACGCGUGGGAACGUGCCCUUCGCUUCGGAACAGCCCCGGGAAACUGGGAUUAAUACCGGAUACGCCGUAUUGGGAAAGAUUUAUCGGCGAAGGAUCGGCCCGCGUUGGAUUAGCUAGUUGGAGGUGGAAUGGACCCCCAAGGCUAGGAUCCAUAGCCGGUCUGAGAGGAUGAUCAACCACACGGGGACUGAGACACGGCGCGCACGCCAACGGGAGGCAGCAGUUGGGAAUCUUGGACGAUGAGCGCUAGCUUGAUCCAGCCAUGUCGCGUAAGUGAAGAAGGCCUUAGGGUUGUAAAACUCUUUCGCCGGAGAAGAUAAUGACGGUAUCCGGAGAAGAAGCCCCGGCUAAGUUCGUGCCAGCCGCCGCAGUAAAAC